rnacentral:rRNA from 1 species
CCGCAGCCCGAGUGGUGACCGAUAUUAUUGAGCCUAAAGCGUCCGUAGCCGGUCUGGUAAAUUCUUGGGUAAAUUGGGCAGCUUAACUGUCCGACUUCCGAGGAGACUGCCAGACUUGGGACCGGGAGAGGUCAGAGGUACUCCAGGGGUAGGGGCUAAAUCCUGUAAUCCUUGGGGGACCACCAGUGGCGAAGGCGUCUGACUAGAACGGAUCCGACGGUAAGGGACGAAACCCUGGGGCGCGAACCGGAUUAGAUACCCGAGUAGUCC